rnacentral:tRNA from 1 species
UUAGCUCAGUUGGUAGAGCAGCGGUCUUUUAAACCGCAGGUCGCGGGUUCGAGCCCCGCAG